rnacentral:lncRNA from 1 species
AAAAAUUGCAUGUGCCGUAUGAGUGGGACUAUAUUAACAGUUCAUAAUUUCAUUUUUAUUUUCUGCUGUGUUUUCCAGAUUUUCUUCAAAGAACGUGCAUCACCUGCAUAAUCAGAAAAACCUGAAGACAGAACGAGAGAUUUUAACAGGAGAUGGGUGACUACCCCACCCCGGUCUGCAUAAACGGAUGUCAUAUUUGGUGGUUGCUGGUGCUGCUGUUUGUCAGGACGACUGGAGGAAAUAUGGAAAGAGAGGGAAAUGGAGGAGAGCAGGAAAUGAAAGCAUUGGCCUUGUGCAAUAGUUCGCCCCAUGCUGUGUCUCAGUUUUCCAGAUGAAGAACUGAGGUGAAGGUAUGUCGAGCUGUGUGUUGUGUACCUGGAGUAUUUGCAUGUUGAAAGAGGGUGUUACUUUAGAAAGAGGUGAAUCACAGGGUGGGAUUUCUAACAACAAUGGAAGAGAGCUUAUCUCUUUCAUAUACCAAGAAGCCUAGUCCUGUCAACCAAUGUCAUGCUCUUCUUA